rnacentral:hammerhead_ribozyme from 1 species
GCACUGCUGAGGAGUCCCACAAUAGGACAAAACAGCCGUCUAGUAC